UACGUAGGCAGCAAGCGUUGUCCGGAAUUAUUGGGCGUAAAGAGCUCGUAGGCGGUUUGUCGCGUCUGCUGUGAAACCCGAGGCUCAACCUCGGGCCUGCAGUGGGUACGGGCAGACUAGAGUGCGGUAGGGGAGAUUGGAAUUCCUGGUGUAGCGGUGGAAUGCGCAGAUAUCAGGAGGAACCACCAAGUGGCGAAGGCAGAUCUCUGGGCCGUAACUGACGCUGAGGAGCGAAAGCAUGGGGAGCGAACAGG
rnacentral:rRNA from 1 species